rnacentral:rRNA from 1 species
GUAGUCUCGCACAGAUGCAUAUCAAUAAGCGGAGGAAAAGAAACUAACAAGGAUUCCCUCAGUAACGGCGAGUGAAGCGGGAAGAGCUCAAAUUUGAAAUCUUGAAAGGUCACCUUUCACGAAUUGUAGUUUAAAGAAGUGUUUUCUGUUACGAUCGUAAUAUAAGUUCUUUGGAAUAGGACAUCACAGAGGGUGAGAAUCCCGUCUAUGAUUGCGAUUUGUAGCUUUGUGAUACACUUUCAAAGAGUCGGGUUGUUUGGGAAUGCAGCCCAAAACGGGAGGUAAAUUUCUUCUAAGGCUAAAUAUUGGCGAGAGACCGAUAGCGAACAAGUACCGUGAGGGAAAGAUGAAAAGAACUUUGAAAAGAGAGUUAAAUAGUACGUGAAAUUGUCAAAAGGGAAGCGUUUAACACCAGUGUUGUUUUCUGAAAAUCAACCUCUGUUAGCUUUAUGCAUGUUUGUUUAGACCUAAUCAGCUAUCUUGCAUGUUCUAUUGUUUGCAGUGGUGCACUUUUCAGUUUACAGGUCAACAUCAGUUUUUUUUUACCGUAAAAAAGUUAAAGAAAGGUAGCUCAUGGCUCCGGUCGUGAGUGUUAUAGUCUUUUUCCUAUGCGGUAGGAGAGACUGAGGUCUGCAGUGUAGGCUAUUUGGCUAGAUACUCAGGUGCUAUGUGAUACCAUUCCAUAAACAACUUGUUGAUUAUGUUUUGUCUAUUGCAUACUCGCUUGUACUAUCAUACCUACGCUUAGGAUGUUGAGUCGUAGAGCACGCAG